UACCAGCUCCCCGAGUGGUGGGGAUGAUUAUUGGGCCUAAAGCGUUCGUAGCUGGCUUGGUAAGUCUUUCGUUAAAUUCAAUGAUCCAAUCAUUGGACUGCGGGAGAUACUGCCAGGCUAGGGGGCGGGAGAAGCCGAUGGUACUCUCAGGGUAGGGGUGAAAUCCUAUAAUCCUGAGAGGACCCCCAGUGGCGAAGGCGGUCGGCUAGAACGCGCCCGACGGUGAGGGACGAAAGCUGGGGGAG
rnacentral:rRNA from 1 species